rnacentral:lncRNA from 1 species
CCUGCCUCUAGGCUUGCGGAACCAACUGCUGGGAGGCAGCUGGGUUUGCAGAGAGGCCGGUGGUCAGCAGCACCUGUGCACCAAUGUUAGGAAUAAAGAGAGCAGAGGAGAUUGGAAGCCAGAGAUUCUCCGAGGACAACCACAGGAUGUGACCAUAAAGCCCUACGUCUAAGGGCAGAUGCAGGGAGGCUAUCAGUCCCUUCUUGGAACGGUUCUUCAAAAUUUACAGUAUGGAAAGCCCAGCGGUGAUGUUCAAGCCUCUACUGAGAAAACAGCAAGGGCUUUGGAUCAGGACAGACCUGGAGCAAAAGAGAAAGAAAUCAGAUGGAAACGAAUCCAUCCAAGUGGAUUAGGUAGAGCAAGUCAGCUUUCUUUAACCCUGAGCUCAAAUUCCAGCCUCUCCUUGAAAUACAGGUAGUUCUUUAUUUACAGAGCAUUAUGUCAACACAGACUUGUGCAUAUGGGAACUGGACACUUGCUUUGUAUGUUUCUUUGGUAACUGAG